rnacentral:rRNA from 1 species
UACGUAGGGUGCGAGCGUUAAUCGGAAUUACUGGGCGUAAAGCGUGCGCAGGCGGUUCGUUGUGUCGGCGGUGAAAGCCCCGGGCUUAACCUGGGAAUGGCCGUCGAAACUGGCGAACUGGAGUGUGGCAGAGGGGGGUGGAAUUCCGCGUGUAGCAGUGAAAUGCGUAGAGAUGCGGAGGAACACCGAUGGCGAAGGCGGCUCUCUGGAACGCAACUGACGCUGAGACGCGAAAGCGUGGGGAGCAAACAGG